AAUGCAGACCCAAAACCUCCCUUUUGCUAAAGACCUAAACCCUCCCCUCUUCAACUUUCAACCCCCAUCAUCAUUUUUCAAGUUCUUAAACCCUCUUCACAGAAGCAUUGUUCCAAUUCACCCCUCUUCUGGAACCUCAAAACCCCUUAAAAUCCAUUGCCAAAACCCCACCCCACAAUUUUCCCGCCAAAAUGCCACCCACCAGAGGGACGUCCGGUCCUUUGCCGGACGGAGCAAAGGGAAGCCCGGAGGUACCUCCACUGGGCGCAUCGAGGGUAACGCUGAAGUCCGUCGACAGGCUAAGCGAAACGCUCGCCGGAAAAGCAGGAAACUGGCAGAGAGCUUGUUUUACAGACUGAAGAACCCUAACAAGAAUUACCCGGACAAUUUAUCCGAAGAGCAGCUUGAGAUGAUUGGUCUAGGAUAUGAUAGAAUGGUUAGGUUUAUGGAAAAAGAUGAUCCAAAUCUUAGGCACCCGUACGAUUGGUACAAGUAUGGUGAAUUUGGACCUUAUUCUUGGCGUGGGGUGGUUUUAGGUGAGCCAAUUCAUGGACGGAUUACCGAUGAGUGUGUAACUUUGAUUGGUGAAGUUCGCAAUCAAGAAGAGUGGGAGAAGAUCGAGCAGUUUGAAAUGGCUCGAGAAUUUCAAACUAGAUUAGAUGCAAUGGAUAAAAAUGUUAAGUUCAGGAAUUUUUGGGUGUUUGUCAGGCAUCCUAGGUGGAGGGUUUCGGAGUUGCCUUGGCAACAGUGGACUUUGGUAAGCGAGGUGGUUCUUGAAGCUGGGGAUCAGAGGUUGGAUAAGUGGAAUUUGAUGGGAAGGCUCGGAAAUAAGGCAAGGUCCAUGAUUACCCAGUGUGCAGCGUGGAUGAGGCCUGAUAUAAUUUAUGUGAAGAGGCCAGUUUAUCAGUGUAGAUUUGAGCCUCAAGAUGACUUUUUUAAGGAAUUGACACCGUUGCUUGAUCCACAGACUGAGGGGGAUUUUUUGUUCCAGUUGGUGAAUGAUGAUGGGAGGGUGGAAUUCUGUACUUAUUUUGGUGGAUUAUGUAGAAUAGUGAAGGCGAAUCCAAAGGCGUUUGUAGAUGAUGUUGUGAAUGCUUAUGAGAAGUUGAGUGAUGAGAAGAAGUCGAAGUGCUUGGAGUUUUUAUUGAACAACCAUCCAGUGCCUCUGUUGCAUCCAUAUACUAAGGAGUGGAAGGUGAAAUUGGAGGAAAUGGAGUUGGGUUGUGACGCCCCAGAUGAUGAGAAUGGCGAUCAUGGUGAGAAUGAUGAGGAAGGUCAGAUAAUGGACUGGAUUGAGGAUGAUGGCGAUGAGAAUGGUGGAAGGAGUGAAGUGGAGGAUGGUGAAGACGAUGAUGCAAUUUUGGAUGUAGAGGAUGCUGGAGAUGAUGAGUUGGGAAUCGAGGAGGAAGAAGAGGAUUUCGGUCCUGAAGAGGAUCCAAACUACUGGGAUGCGGAAUUUAAGAAGGCAUUGAGAAGUAAUGAAGCAAUGGAAAAGCUUGCAAAACGAGGCUUAGAGAUAUCUAACAAAAUCUAUGAAAAGCAGAUUAGAGCAAUGGAAAGGAGGGGGAAAGGGACAGUUGAAGAAGAUGGGGAUGAAUUGGCAAUGAGGCGAACAAGAGCAAAGGUCAGUCCAGCAGAAUGGAAGAAUCUCGGUUACGGUCCUUUCAGGAAAAGGAUCAAAAAGAGUAAAGUACCGCCUGGUUUGUUCUUACGAGCUGCUGUUAGACCAUUCACUUACAGAAACCUAGUCAAAGAGAUUGUUUUGACAAGACAUGCCAUCAUAGAAGGAGAGAUUGGUAGGAAGAAGUGAUAUGUAGGUAUUUUGACGGGUCUGGGAGUAUGAAUAUCGCCAAAACAUCAAUGGCUAUUUUUGCAGCUUCAGUCUGCAGCUAGUACUUCAUGCUUGUAUGAUUUCUUACCUCUGCAGAGCUUGACUCGAAGCCUCAAUACUUUGAGCUGUCCUUGCAAAACUUAACACCAAGUAUGCCUUUCUUAAUCUUUACUUUGAAUCACAUCUGAAGAAGCCUCUGGAUAGGGAUGUAUCAACUAUUGUCCGAGUAUAUGGUCCGUACUGUAAUCGAGCAGUGGCAAUUCAAAGUUCAAACCCUCUGCUCGAGAUUUCGUCUAUCCUAGAAACUAUGCUGUUAUUCCUGCUUACUGGUGUUCCUAAAGGGAUGCUCAGAACCAUUGGUAGGAUGAACCUUUCAGUGCUACUUAU